UGGUGGUGUCCCAGGACGGUCCUCCCA
rnacentral:piRNA from 1 species